rnacentral:sRNA from 1 species
GCUGUGCAGUGACAGUGUGCCUAUGCAGACAGAGGGAGCAGUGAAUAGCAAUAGGGUGUUUCCACCAUGGUCUUCACUCAGGCCCCGGCUGAAAUCAUGGGCCACCUCCGGAUACGCAGCCUCCUGGCCCGGCAGUGCCUGGCAGAGUUUCUGGGUGUGUUUGUACUCAUGGGGCCCACCUGAAUCCAGCCUUCUCCCUGGCCAUGUGCAUCGUUGGACGCCUCCCCUGGGUCAAGCUCCCCAUUUACAUCUUGGUGCAGUUGCUGUCUGCUUUCUGUGCUUCGGGAGCCACCUAUGUUCUCUACUAUGAUGCCCUACAGAACUAUACAGGUGGGAACCUGACAGUGACUGGCCCCAAGGAGACAGCCUCCAUUUUUGCCACCUAUCCUGCCCCCUAUCUGUCCCUGAACAAUGGCUUCCUGGAUCAGGUUCUGGGCACCGGGAUGCUGAUUGUGGGGCUCUUGGCCAUCCUGGACAGACGGAACAAGGGAGUCCCUGCGGGUCUGGAGCCUGUGGUGGUGGGGAUGCUGAUCCUGGCCCUCGGGUUAUCCAUGGGUGCCAACUGCGGGAUUCCACUCAACCCUGCCCGGGACCUGGGCCCACGUCUCUUCACCUACGUGGCUGGCUGGGGUCCUGAAGUCUUCAGGUGGGAGACAGACUCUCCUGGUGCUGGCCUCCACUCACCUUCCUCUGCUAAGGGCUCUGUCCCUGGGUCCACAGCACUCUGCCUUUAAAAUAGCUCUCUUGGCCUCUUAGGACAGUGUUCUUUCUCCAAGUCAUAUUCUCCCCCUUUCUCCCUUGCUUCCCUCCCAACUUUUCACCGAAACAGUAAGAUUUAGAGGUUGUGUUCUUAGGCAUGCCACAUUACUUCCAUGCACAUUA